GAUGAACGCUAGCGGCAGGCUUAACACAUGCAAGUCGAACGGUAACAGAAGAGCUUGCUCUUGCUGACGAGUGGCGAACGGGUGCGUAACGCGUAUACAACUUACCUCUAACUAAGGGAUAGCUCAGAGAAAUUUGAAUUAAUACCUUAUAAUAUCUAAGUGUCUCAUGGCAUUAUGAUUAAAGAAUUUCGGUUAGAGAUGGGUAUGCGUGAUAUUAGUUUGUUGGUAAGGUAACGGCUUACCAAGACUACGAUAUCUAGGGGGUCUGAGAGGAUGGUCCCCCACACUGGUACUGAGACACGGACCAGACUCCUACGGGAGGCAGCAGUGAGGAAUAUUGGUCAAUGGACGAAAGUCUGAACCAGCCAUGCCGCGUGAAGGAUGAAUGCCCUACGGGUUGUAAACUUCUUUUAUAAGGGAAGAAACCUUUCUAUUUAUAGAAAGCUGACGGUACCUUACGAAUAAGCAUCGGCUAACUCCG
rnacentral:rRNA from 1 species